rnacentral:lncRNA from 12 species
ACAGAGCAGCACUGGGGGUGUCGGCCAAUGAGAGGCCUCGCUUCCUGAAUAUGUUUACCUGCCAGUCAGUGACGGUGUGGGAGGAGCCUAAUGAAUGUGCCAGUGGAACUGCCAGAGCUCCUCCCCUCAUCCCCGUGUUUAUCUCUGCGAAUCUCAAUGCAUUUUUGUACCGGUUCUCUUGCCCUCUGCGUGUGUGUCCGUCUGUGGUUCUGACUGUAAUCCGAGCCGAGCUGCUUCACUCAUCUAAAGAUGAUUAUGACCUGAGAAAAUCAACUUUGCACUGUCAUAAAAUUAAAAUUACAGAUUGUGUUUUUACUGCGUACAAAUGGAAUGAUUACUGAAUAAAGACUUUAUACGGUUGUUUUCCGGCGUGUAAAUCUGUUUUGUUUAUUCUGACCGUGGACGGGAAACAUCAUGAGUCACAUUACUGGACCAUUCAUUUCUAAUUCAUCAAUUCAUCCAUUUGCUUGUAAUGAUUUUAAAAAGUAUACAGUAGUGAUGGGAAAUGAUUCACUGUUUCAAAGACUGUAGAAUAGGUUUGAAUGGGGACACGUGCUCUAGCCAACGAAGCCCCGCCUUCUGAGCAAAAGAGUCAAUCGCGAAUCGGUAAAGUCAACACGUCUCUGCAGCUGCCGUUAGAAGUCCCGGUUGCUAUAACACUCAGAGUAUUGUAAAUAAUUGUAUAUAAUUAGAGUAUAAUAAUAAUAAGAGUAUAUAAUUAUAAUUGAGACGUGCGCCUGGGACUGCGCAUGCGCACUGGCGGGUCUAGCCUGAAAAAAAUAAGCUUUUUGUAACGAUAUUUGAGCGAAAUAAACACCAUUUAUGAUACAGUUGUUGUCCGAUGUGAUUUGUGAUUUCAUAUAUGAAAUUUAAUGGUAAGCUUGGCGACCAGUUUUGGAUAAUUUGAUGUUUCUUCAUUCAAAGAGCUAGGAGCUGCACGUGCAUGCCCGAGAAGUUUCGAAGCGCUCCAAUCAAUCGGAUCGUGUAACGCUAACGCGAAUCAUUUGAUUCGGAUCGCGACUUCAGCGAUUCGUGAGUCGUUUGAACAGAUCGUGAAUCUUUUAAACAAAUCGCGACUUCGCUUGCGCUAAAGUCUUCCCCAGUAAUUAUGAAAGAAACGGAGACGGCUAGAAGCCAAACGUGAGCAACUGUGUUAUGUUUUGAUAUUUAUACACAAUUCCGUUAUGAAUUCAUAAAUGUGAUCCAUGUAAAAUCUAACACCCGAGGUAUUACAAACGCUUCAGCCGUGUUUCUUAAAUUAUACCUUAACUGAGGAACAACUGAAUUUGAUGACAUCAUUCUCAUAUGUAGAUAAUCUCUUUUGAUUAAUGUUUAUAGUUUAUCAUCAGAAGAAGCGGCUUACCUCAGGAAAGAUCCGGUCAGAUUCGCG